rfam:Picea glauca, whole genome shotgun sequence.
GGGUGUGAUCAUACUAGCAUUAAUGUAUUGGAUCCCAUCGAAACUCCGCAGUUAAGCGCACUUGGGCUAGAGUAGUACUAGGAUGUGUGACCUCCCGGGAAGUCCUAGUGUUGCACCCU